rnacentral:rRNA from 1 species
AUUGAACGCUGGCGGCAUGCUUUACACAUGCAAGUCGAACGGUAACAGGGUGCUUGCACCGCUGACGAGUGGCGAACGGGUGAGUAAUGCGUCGGAACGUGCCGAGUAGUGGGGGAUAACGCAGCGAAAGUUGUGCUAAUACCGCAUACGUACUGAGGUAGAAAGUGGGGGACCUUCGGGCCUCACGCUAUUCGAGCGGCCGACGUCUGAUUAGCUAGUAGGUGAGGUAAAGGCUCACCUAGGCGACGAUCAGUAGCGGGUCUGAGAGGAUGAUCCGCCACACUGGGACUGAGACACGGCCCAGACUCCUACGGGAGGCAGCAGUGGGGAAUUUUGGACAAUGGGCGAAAGCCCGAUCCAGCCAUGCCGCGUGUCUGAAGAAGGCCUUCGGGUUGUAAAGGGCUUUUGUCAGGGAGGAAAUCCCUAGUGCUAAUAACACUGGGGGAUGACAGUACCUGAAGAAUAAGCACCGGCUAACUACGUGCCAGCCGCCGCAGUAA